GACGAACGCUGGCGGCGUGCUUAAUACAUGCAAGUCGAACGGAAAGGCCCUGCUUUUGUUGGGUGCUCGAUUGGGGAACGGGUGUGUAACACGCGAGUAACCUGUCCUUGUCUUUGGGAUAACAUCAGGAAACUCGGGCUAAUACCGGAUAUGAGCUGUUGCUGCACGGUGUGGGUUGGAAAGUUUCGGCGGUUGUGGAUGGACUCGCGGCUUAUCGGCUUGAUUGUGGGGUAGUGGCUGACCAAGGCUGUGACGGCUAGCCGGCCUGGGAGCGGGACCGGCGACAAUAGGACUGAGAGACGGAGCAGACUGCAACGGGAGGCAACGGGGGAGAACAUGGCGCAGUGGGCGGAAGUCUGAGGCGGCGACCCCGCGUGCGGAAUGACGGCUUUCGGGGUAAAAACCGCUUUCGCCUGAGACGAAGCGGGAGUGACGGUAAUGGGUAAAGAAGCACCGGCUAACUACGUG
rnacentral:rRNA from 1 species